GACGAACGCUGGCGGCGUGCUUAACACAUGCAAGUCGAACGAAGAGCGAUGGAAGCUUGCUUCUAUCAAUCUUAGUGGCGAACGGGUGAGUAACGCGUAAUCAACCUGCCCUUCAGAGGGGGACAACAGUUGGAAACGACUGCUAAUACCGCAUACGAUCUAAUCUCGGCAUCGAGGAUAGAUGAAAGGUGGCCUCUACAUGUAAGCUAUCACUGAAGGAGGGGAUUGCGUCUGAUUAGCUAGUUGGAGGGGUAACGGCCCACCAAGGCGAUGAUCAGUAGCCGGUCUGAGAGGAGGAACGGCCACAUUGGGACUGAGACACGGCCCAGACUCCUAAGGGAGGCAGCAGUGGGGAAUCUUCCGCAAUGGACGAAAGUCUGACGGAGCAACGCCGCGUGAGUGAUGACGGCCUUCGGGUUGUAAAGCUCUGUUAAUCGGGACGAAAGGCCUUCUUGCGAAUAGGGAGAAGGAUUGACGGUACCGGAAUAGAAAGCCACGGCUAACUACGUG
rnacentral:rRNA from 1 species